AGUGAACGCUGGCGGUAGGCCUAACACAUGCAAGUCGAACGGCAGCACAGUAAGAGCUUGCUCUUACGGGUGGCGAGUGGCGGACGGGUGAGGAAUACAUCGGAAUCUACUUUUUCGUGGGGGAUAACGUAGGGAAACUUACGCUAAUACCGCAUACGACCUACGGGUGAAAGCAGGGGAUCUUCGGACCUUGCGCGAUUGAAUGAGCCGAUGUCGGAUUAGCUAGUUGGCGGGGUAAAGGCCCACCAAGGCGACGAUCCGUAGCUGGUCUGAGAGGAUGAUCGGCCACACUGGAACUGAGACACGGUCCAGACUCCUACGGGAGGCAGCAGUGGGGAAUAUCGGACAAUGGGGGCAAGCCUGAUCCAGCCAUACCGCGUGGGUGAAGAAGGCCUUCGGGUUGUAAAGCCCUUUUGUUGGGAAAGAAAAGCAGCAGGUUAAUACCCCGCUGUUCUGACGGUACCCAAAGAAUAAGCACCGGCUAACUUCGUG
rnacentral:rRNA from 1 species